CUGAUCAAUACAGCUUUGCCGGAGGAAUGUUCUGACAAACUUGCCUCCUCAUGUAUGAUAAAAGAAUGAGCCAGAGUCAAUCAAGCUCAAGUCUUUGACCAGGUCUAAGAGAAAAAUAAACCAAUUGAAGCUCACAGAUCCCCCCGAAGCCCUGCAAAGCGGUCUGCAGUAGUUCAGAUGAAGCUCAAGUGAUAAUCUGACUUCAUCCCCUCCCUACUCCUAAGGCUUUUCCAGAAUGAUGAGGAGACCCACAGCGGAGCCAUGAAGCAGCAGAGGCUAUGAACCACAUAUAUGGGAGGAUGGAGGGUCUGCACUAUGGAGAGUCCACCACCUAUUGAGAAGAGCAGUAUGGAGCCAACAUCUCUAGUCCCUUUUUCUCAAUCAGCUACACCCAAUGCAUGGGCCACAGGCAGAACAGCAGAGUGAAAAGAACACAGGCUUUGGAAUCAAUGAGACCCAGUUUUGUACCCCGGCUCUGCCACUUCUGGCUGUAUGACACCGGACGAGUUUCCUUCGUACCUCAGUUUCCUCAUAUUAUAGUAGCACUGCUGACAACUCAUAAACCACAACACUGUAAACGUUUGCAGCUCAAUGUCUGGCCAUAGCAGAAUUCAAACAUUACGAACAUACUCGUGUGUUUUGCAAACAGUUGAUCAGAAUAUAUUCAAAAAGAGGAGGAACAAGGAAAUGGGCAAAUUUCCGGUGACAGCAAAGUUCCUUGACAGAAAGGAACAUUUCUUUAUACAAAGAGUAAAAAAAUCAUUUCCUUUCAAAGAGUUUUGAGGACUAAUGUAGGCAGAAAAAUGGCCCCCAAAGAUCUUCACAUCCUAAUCUUUGGAACCUGUGAUGAUGUUACCUUACAGGACAGACGCGAUUAAGUUAAAGACCUUGAGAUGAGGAGAUUAUCCUGGAUUAUCCGGGAGGGCCCAAUCUAAUCACACAGAUCCUUAAAAUCAGAGAACCUUGCGCAGCUGUGGUCAGAGAGCCGGCCUGAUGACAAAGGGGCAGGACGAAGC